ensembl:lncRNA
CAGACAAUUAUCUUUUAUUGCAAAACGUGACAAGAUCGCGAAAUCAAAAGUGAAAGCAUCCGAAGCUGGGCUUAUAACAUAGAAAAAGAGGGACUCCCAUUCACAAAAUUCAAAUCACAAAUAAUACUACUGAUGAAAAAGAACGGGUUGAAUGUUAACCACUUUCGUUUCCAUAUAACUAUUAACUAUGAUAAAAGUUCAUCAGCAUCCAUUGAUUAAUAGCAUGUUGUAGCAAAAAAAAAAAAAAAACACAGCCGUGCUCUUGUGACCAACUGAGAAAUUAUUUGCAAAAGAGCGACCAAUGGGAAGUAUGAGUCUGCAGCCCUGAAUUGCCCCGCUACAUACAAUAACUACACUACAUACAAUAACUACACUGUAACAGUAUGUUUGUGUUUUUGGUGGCCAGAUAACUGAAGAUAACUUAUAUCAGAAACGAGAGAAGUCAUCAGCUGUUAGAGAAGCACUAAGACUAGAACGCGUGCACACUGAAGAAAUGUUUGCGGCCAGCUUCCCAGAUAUUAAAAAGCAUCAAAACCACCCCAUUUUUGGAAAGGAAUCAAGAGACAUUUUGAUUAUAUCAUUAAAAAAUGCCAAGGAGGGAAACAGGAAGUCCAGUGCAGACCAUCAU